rnacentral:rRNA from 1 species
ACCAAAGGAAUCAGCCUCGGCUAACUCCGUGCCAGCAGCCGCGGUAAUACGGAGGAGGCAAGCGUUAUCCGGAAUGAUUGGGCGUAAAGCGUCCGCAGGUGGCCAUGUAAGUCUACUGUCAAAACCCAGGGCUCAACUCUGGUCAGGCAGUGGAAACUACAAAGCUAGAGUCUGGUAGGGGCAAAGGGAAUUCCCGGCGUAGCGGUGAAAUGCGUAGAUUUCGGGAAGAACAUCGGUGGCGAAA